rnacentral:pre_miRNA from 1 species
AGUAGGAUAGCUGGGUCAAAUGGUGGUUCUGAGGAAUCUCCAUACUGCUUUCCAUAGUGGUUGCACCAAUUUGCAGUCCCAACAGCAAU